rnacentral:rRNA from 1 species
CGCAGCCGCGGUAAUUCCAGCUCCAAUAGCGUAUAUUAAAGUUGUUGCAGUUAAAAAGCUCGUAGUUGAAUUUCGGGGUCAGUAGAUUGGUCGUGCCACUGGUAUGUACUGGUCUCACUGGCUCCUCCUUCCUGAUGAACCGUAAUGCCAUUAAUUUGGUGUUGCGGGGAGACUGGACUGUUACUUUGAAAAAAUUAGAGCGUUUAAAGCAGGCUAACGCUUGAAUACAUUAGCACGGAAUAAUGAAAUAGGACGUUCGAUCUUAUUUUGUUGGUUUCUAAGAUUGACGUAAUGAUUAAUAGGGAUAGUUGGGGGCAUUAGUAUUCAAUUGUCAGAGGUGAAAUUCUUGGAUUUAUUGAAGACUAACUACUGCGAAAGCAUUUGCCAAGGAUGUUUUCAUUAAUCAAGAACGAAAGUUAGGGGAUCGAAGACGAUCAGAUACCGUCGUAGUCUUAACCAUAAACUAUGCCGACUAGGGAUCGGAUGAUGUUAAUUUUUUAAUGACUCAUUCGGCGCCUUA